CCGACAAUCCAGAAGACGAGAGAAUUCCGUACUUUCACGCCAAGGCAAGCAACCGGCCGCCCGCCCGCCGCCAUCACCACCGUCCUCCCCACGGUACUUCGGUUCCAAGUUCCGUAUCCGCCCCCGCAUGGCCUAAAUCGCCAUCCCUCCACGCCUCGCUUAGUGAGCUCUUGCUUGCCGUACAUACAUGCCGAUGAGCUCCUCGCCGGCGGUCGCGGUCGCGUCUGCGGCCGUGGUAGCGCUGGCUGUCGCUAACCGCGUGCUCUAUAAGCUCGCGCUGGUGCCCCUCAAGUCCUACCCCUUCUUCCUCGCUCAGCUCACCACGUUCGGGUACGUCGCCGUGUACUUUUCAAUACUCUAUGCGAGGUACCGCGCGGGGGUGGUGACGCGGGACAUGCUGGCACUGCCGAAGAUCCGGUUCGCUGUCAUCGGCUUGCUGGAGGCACUUGGGGUCGCCGCCGGAAUGUCUGCGGGAGCUAUGCUGCCUGGCCCUGCUAUUCCUAUACUGUCUCAGUCUUUCCUGGUGUGGCAGCUUAUCUUCUCUGUGUUGCUUUUGGGAAAGACCUACUCUCUGAGACAAAUCAUUGGUUGCUUGCUUGUAACUUCUGGUGUGAUUCUUGCUGUUGCGAGUGGAGCAAAUGAUGGUCAUCUUCUAUCUGGAGUCAAGUUAAUUUGGCCAUUAUUGAUGGUUAUUUCAUCGGCAUUCCAAGCUGGUGCAUCCAUUUUGAAGGAGUCUGUUUUCGUUGAUGGUGCAAAACGUCUUAAGGGGAAACGGCCCGACAUCUUCGUGGUUAAUUCAUUUGGGUCUGGGUUUCAGGCUCUUUUUGUCUUCCUUCUUCUCCCAUUACUUUCUAAUUUGAGGGGGAUUAAGCUUGCUGAGCUUUCUGGCCAUUUAAAUGGUGGUGCUGAGUGCUUCUUAAAUGUUGGGGAGAGCCCAAUUGGUAAUAUUGUGGAGGUGCUCCAUUCCUACCAUUGCUAUUUAUAUUCGUAAACAUGGCUUUCAACAUCUCGUUGCUUAAUUUGGUAAAGAUGUCGUCUGCCGUGGUUGCUUCACUUACAGCAACUUCCGCCGUGCCAAUAUCAAUCUAUAUCCUUUCUCUUCCUUUGCCCUACAUCCCUCAAGGCGCGGGAUUAAGCGCUUCUUUUAUCUUAGGUGGUAUGGUAUUGUUGACGGGUCUAAUUCUGUAUAACCUUCCCCAAUCAUCCAAAGAGUCAAAGACUGACUAAAACCUUGUGCAGAUUGAGUGUAUAUUACCACUUCAACCGAAAAUCAAUUAUUGGUUUGGUCCUGAACCUAAUAUUAGAUAACUAGGUUGGUGACGCCACAGUCGAUAAGGACUGUUUGUUACGAUGCAUGAGUACUUGGUAUUUCUAAUUUGUAACAGAAUAGAACUUAGUACAUACAUGUAUGUAAGAAGCUAGAUUUGGUAAUUUGUGCACUCAUUUUCACUUCCCAAUGUAUAGUGAACUUCCCAUCCUAAAGAGCAUUGCAAAAUCUGCAAGUCAUGGUAUAAAACUUACCAGUCCAUGCCAAAUAGCUGUCUAACGGUGAAUUGUUUUUCAGUUA